AGUGAACGCUGGCGGCAGGCCUAACACAUGCAAGUCGAGCGGAAGCACAGUACGUGCUCGCGGUUACGGGUGCCGAGGGGCGGGUGAUGCCGAGGAAUAUGGGUGUCUACUUUGUCUUACGGCCUGACGCGGGCGCACAUACGCCAUUACCGCAGAGGGCGUACGUGUGGGAUCUUCGGACCUUCCGCUCUUGCAUGAUUGUAGGACCCGAUGUCGGAUUAGCUAGUUGGCGGGGUAAAGGCCCACCAAGGCGACGAUCCGUAGCUGGUCUGAGAGGAUGAUCAGCCACACUGGAACUGAGACACGGUCCAGACUCCUACGGGAGGCAGCAGUGGGGAAUAUUGGACAAUGGGCGCAAGCCUGAUCCAGCCAUGCCGCGUGUGUGAAGAAGGUCUUCGGAUUGUAAAGCACUUUUGUUGGGAAAGAAGAGCAGUAGGUUAAUACCUCGCUGUUCUGACGGUACCAACAGAAUAAGCACCGGCUAACUUCGUG
rnacentral:rRNA from 1 species